UGAAGAUCCCCUCCACUGACUCAUAAUAACGAGUGCUAAGCGGUACCCACCCCAAGAUUCUUUCCACCGAUUUAUAAUAACGAGCGCUAAGCGAUACCAUCUCGAAAAACCCCUCUAGCAACUCAUAAUAGCGAGUAGCAAGCGGUAACAAGCUUGAAGAUCCCCUCCACUGACUCAUAAUAACGAGUGCUAAGCGGUACCCACCCCAAGAUUCUUUCCACCGAUUUAUAAUAACGAGCGCUAAGCGAUACCAUCUCGAAAAACCCCUCUAGCAACUCAUAAUAGCGAGUAGCAAGCGGUAACAAGCUUGAAGAUCCCCUCCACUGACUCAUAAUAACGAGUGCUAUGCGGUACCCACCCUGAAGAUUCUUCCCACCGAUUUAUAAUAACGAGUGCUAACUGAUACCAGCUUGAAGAUCCACCGACUCAUAAUAGCGAGUCCUAAGCGAUACCAUCUUGAAAAACCCCUCUAGUACUCAGCUUGAAGAUCCCCUGCACUGACUUAAAAUAACGAGUGCAAAGCGAUAGCAGCUUGAAGAACCCCUCCUAUCGACUCAUAGCACAACAGCAAGUGCUAGCAACUUAACGAUAUCGUUAUUAUAACUUCCUGCGUCAUCUAUGCACUAGCCUCUCCUCCAAAAGCAGGCAGUAACAAAACUUUGCUACAGUCCAACAUACAAUCAACAAAUUAAUAAUUGUAGAAGAUUUUACGUGAUCUACCUGCACGUGCUUUUCUUCUAAAGCUUCACAAAUAUAAUUACUUCAUGAGCCUAAUAAGGGUAUAUUCCAUUGACCCGUAAUGUGCAAUAUAGGGAUAAAUACAUAUAUGUAUGUACAUGCUGGGUAUGUAGGCACUGAAUCAGACUUAAAAGUGAGACCAAAUUUAUAUGGAUUAACAAAUGGUUUUUGCUAAAUAGAGAUACACACAUUGAAGUUCUUAUUAUAGCUGCUUAUUAGUAAAAAGUUCUUGAUUAUUCAAAUGACAAUAAAGACGAAUAAACUAAAACUACAAACGACCUGGUCUGUCUUAGUUCUACAAGAUUGGUAAUUUUUGUAGAAACAUUGUUUGUGAAAAAUUGUUUUCACGAUGAUUGGUAAUCAUAAUAU